rnacentral:lncRNA from 1 species
UCUUUUGCUGCCUUUGGAGUCGAAACUUCAGGAGUACUUCGCAAGGGGAUGAAUGAAAUCCACUAGAAAUUGAAGGAAACAAAUUGCAAGCUUUGGGUGAAGGAGUGAGAACCUAGGGAUUUUGGGCUCGGAUUUGAAGCUGUUUUGGUCGUAUUUUCUGAAAAACUCCUACAUAAAACUUCCUCCCCUACCAACGUAGAUUAUCCAGAUAAUGAAAUCUCCCCAAAAAAAGCACUGAUGCGUUCAGAAAAUGGCCGGGAAUCUCCCUGAAUAUCCAACCCUGGCUCAGAUUUUAUCAUAAAAAAUUUUCUACGUUUUUUUCAUCUUUUCUCUCCCUCUCUCCUUUCUUUUCCUCUCUUUUUCCUCCCUUCUUGUUCUUCAGCCACCCCCUCUUGUUCCCAGAUUCCCUCUUCUCUUUCUUUCUUUCCGUUCUCCCUUUCCUUUUUAUCCUACCCGAAGGUUCCAGUUUUUUUUUUUCGAUGCUCUUCUUCCUUUUCCCUUCUUGUGCCGCCAGCUCUCUCUCUUUCUUGCUCUCCCCCAGAUCCUCCUCCCUCUUCUCUUGUUUUCUCCUUUGUUUCCUUCUUUUUCCUUCAGCCGUUACCUUCCCUCAAUCUCUCCUUUCUUCUCUCUCGGUUCCUUCUUUUUUUUUUUUCUUUCUCUCCCCCCUUGCCUAGCUCCCGCAACCCUCUUUUUUCUUCCUUUUCGUUCUUUUCUUUUUUCCCCUUUUCUCCACUGCCCGCAGCUCCUCUCCCUCUUAGCCGCA